rnacentral:lncRNA from 1 species
AGGAGCUGUAGCCACUGGCCUACGCCAGAGCCAGCCACAGCAACGCAGGAUCCCGGCCGCAUCUGCAACCUACACCACAGCUCACGGCAACACGGGAUCCUUAAUCCACUGAGUGAGGCCAGGGAUUGAACCUGCAACCUCAUGGUUCCUAGUCGAAUUCGUUAACCAUGGAGCCAAAACGGGAACUCUAUAGCCUGGCAAAUUUUCAUCCUCCUAACUAAAAUUAUAGGCGGGAAAGGGAAAUAGUAACAAAGAAACUAAAUUUACAUUCCCUUGUUCAAGGUUUUCAUUUAAUGAAAAUGUGCUCUGCACAUUACUGGAAAAGUACAUAUUUAAAAACAAACACUCAAAUUCAUCUGAAAUCUAGGACUGCACCCACGGCAUAUGGAGAUUUCAGGCUAGGGGUCCAAUCGGAGCUGUAGCUGCCGGCCUAUGCCAGAGCCACAGCAACGCCAGAUCCGAGCAGUGUCUGAGACCUUCACCACAGCUCAAGGCAAUGCCAGAUCCUUGACCCACUGAACAAGGCCAGGAAUUGAACCCGCAACCUCAUGGUUCCUAGUCGGAUUCGCUAACCACUGAGCCACAACGGGAACUCCUGAAAAAUCUAAUUUUAAAUGCCACUCUUUUGUAAUCAACAAUCCUGAGAACUAAGAGGACAAGGGAGAGAUCCUUAUGAUGAUCUAAGUUGAGGAUAUUAGUGUACUCAUCCCAGUCUUUUUCUAUAGAACUUAUAAAUAUUGGUAACAAGAGGAACACUUGAAAUCAGAAGGUAUCAGGAGGAAACCUAUUUACAGAUUAAAUACUAGAAUACACAAACAAAAAAAACUACUUUAUUAUCUGAAGUUUACUCAUGUUAUUUUCCACUGUUUUAUUUUUUAACGUGCUAAUAGGUGAAACCUACUUUCAUCAUAUUUUUCUCAAAUAAUGAGAAAGUUAUAUACCUAAAAAAGAUACAAACUUUAGUAAUUUAUGCUGUGCAACUCCAUUAAAUUUUCAUAUUGUCUGUUACAUUCAACAACUGUGAAGGCUAAAGAAAUAAACACAUCACCAAUAAAAAUUUCUAUUUCUUAAUUCUAAUAUCAAUUCAUACAAAAAGGAGUUCCUUGGUGGCACAGCAGGUUAAGAAUUAGGUUACUGCUGUGGCACAGGUUCGAUCUCUGGCCUGGGGACUUCUGCAUGCUGUGGGCAUGGACAAUAAAUAAAUAAAUAAAUUCAUUUAAUUAAAAUAAAAAAUACAUCAAUGUCUAAUAGAAAGUAUACACUGCAAUCACACAGCCAACCACGGAAGAAGAAAUAUGUCAUUUCUCAUGUUCACACAUCUGCUGACAAACUACAAAGCGCAGAUUUCUAAUAAAAGUAUUAAAUGAGAAAGAUCUGUGUAACAAGUAAACCAGGAGAAGGUAUUGGUCAAAAUUACUUGUCAGCUUCAAGCUGUGUUAUUUCUGGGUUGUUCGACAGUUCUCUACUUCUUUCUUCCUGAUGUUCAGAUCUAAGGGAAAGGUCCCCAUCUCAUGAUGAUAGGACUCUUCCCUUAUAUCAUGUAUUCAAUCAUCUGACCCCUAAACCUUCCAAGUUUUCAAGUCAUUUAAGCCAUUCUAGAUCUCUGGGACAGCAAAGAAAGAAGAAAAAGGAAGGGAGGGGCAGAUAGAAGAUCAGGUGUAAGUAUCCGACACCCUGCAAGGAGUCAAAACUUGUUGACAGGUACAAAAGGAGAGGAAGACUAACACCUGCAUAGUCUUAAGGACAUUAGUGAACAUUCUGACCAAAGAUCAUUCCAGCAGGAAGGUCCCUUAGCGGGCACAGGCAGAAUUCAAGGUGGCACUGGAACAAUACAGUGGCAGUAUCUACAGAAGGUACCAUAAGACAGGUAGGGAUGAUGGCAUCUCCCAAGAUCCCACAAAGUCCAUCAUGAUUCAUGGAAAACUGCUGUGUUCCCUGGAUGCCAGGAGGAAUACAGUAAUGCUGGCAGUAGCGGAACCUAGAAAAGACAUGGGUUUUGGAAAAAGUCACAGACUGUAAGUUCUUACAACCAGAUUCAAUAGCAAGGUCCAGGAAGCCCAAAUCAGCUGCCAGGAUGACAUUCAAAGACCAAAUGGGAACAGUCUCAUUUCAGUGGAUACCAGGGCAUGAUGCCCAGUCACCAGUAUGCCAACUCCAGAGUACUGGAUGCAGUGAGGGUUACACAAUGAGUAAAAUGCCCUUCACCCAGAGCCAUGAGGAUACAAAGCUUUCCCGUUCACCUGAACGUUAUCUUGGAAACGGAAUGAGGGAAGGAAAACCCUUGGAGAAAUGAGAGAAAUCAUCAAAGAGUCUUUAAACUGGAGACCAGUGUGAGCUUAGUGGACAAGAUCAGGUGUUCUCCAUCUUCAGUGGGAAUGGGAUCUUGAAGGCAAGGUGAAAGCAGCUACAGAAAAUAAAUUACAUUUCCUGUGUAUAUUUCAAAAGUAGUAUGUCCACUUUUACACUCAUACGCACCCAUCAUUCUGAACACUGCUUCCCAACCCCAGCUGCAUAAACACAUUCUAAACCAGUACUAUUCAAAGUGUGGUCUGUGGUCAGUGCCCGUCAGGAAAUGGUUUAUUAUCUGUCCAUGGUUAGAUGAAUACAGAAAAUGAAGAUAGGUGUUUAGAAACCCCUACAGCAAUUUGCCAUUGCUGCAACAUCUAAGCCUGUGAUGAACAAGCUCAUCUCAUUGAACAGGACAUAGACAAGUACAGGUGUGGUCAGACUCAGGUGGGUAGUUUCACAUGGUACAGACCACGUAUCAGUCUGCAGUGGGGGACAAACAGCUCUCCCCUGCGAGUGGUCUAAGUACUAACGUAGAUCGGCACGCUACCAAAUUCUACCAUCAAGUGCACUGCCAAUACCAGGGUAAUUUGUAUUUAGGAUGGCAACAGUG